UACGUAGGGUGCAAGCGUUGUCCGGAAUUAUUGGGCGUAAAGAGCUCGUAGGCGGUUUGUCGCGUCGAAUGUGAAAACCCGGGGCUCAACCCCGGGCCUGCAUUCGAUACGGGCAGACUAGAGUUCGGUAGGGGAGUCUGGAAUUCCUGGUGUAGCGGUGGAAUGCGCAGAUAUCAGGAAGAACACCCGUGGCUAAGGCGGCUCUCUAGUACGGUACUGACGCUGAGACGCGAAAGCGUGGGGAGCGAACAGG
rnacentral:rRNA from 1 species